UACGGGAGGCAGCAGUGGGGAAUAUUGCACAAUGGGCGCAAGCCUGAUGCAGCCAUGCCGCGUGUAUGAAGAAGGCCUUCGGGUUGUAAAGUACUUUCAGUCGUGAGGAAGGUGUUAAGGUUAAUAACCUUAGCAAUUGACGUUAGCGACAGAAGAAGCACCGGCUAACUCCGUGCCAGCAGCCGCGGUAAUACGGAGGGUGCGAGCGUUAAUCGGAAUUACUGGGCGUAAAGGGCACGCAGGCGGUUAAUUAAGUUGGAUGUGAAAUCCCCGGGCUUAACCUGGGAAUGGCAUUCAAGACUGGUUAGCUAGAGUCUUGUAGAGGGGGUAGAAUUCCGAUGUGUAGCGGUGAAAUGCGUAGAGAUGUGGAGGAAUACCGGUGGCGAAGGCGGCCCCUGGACAAAGGCUGACGCUCAUGUGCGAAAGCGUGGGGAGCAAACGAGGAUUAGAUACC
rnacentral:rRNA from 1 species